rnacentral:tRNA from 1 species
AUCGCUAUAGCUUAGUGGAAGAGCGCGGGGCUCAUAUCAUGACACCCCGAGGUCGGUUGAUCGAGACAACCUGGCGAUA